rnacentral:misc_RNA from 1 species
GAAAUUCACUGCAAUUGCUGAGAGAUGAUCAUUGUUUAGGUCUAAAGGUAAUCGAAGGUCCAGUUUUUGCAGAUUACACCUGCAAUUGUUAAUGAAAUGAAGGAAGCCUUCUCUGCUACCACCAUCAUAAACCAAAAGAGAAUUCAAAGAUUCACAAUUCUCUGCCAAUCUUAUUAAAACCCCAUCAACUAUACUCCUACAAGUCCUUAGCUCCAGUUCUUGGAGAACAUUCAAGCACCUGAUAAAUGAUAAAAAGGAUCCUCCAUCACCUAUACCUUCACAGUUCUUUAACUGCAAUUUCUUGAGUUUUUUGCAGCUUCUCCAUAACC